CAUUAAAAAGAAACAUUCCGAGACUGGAACAAAUGUCAGAAGGGAGAUGCCCUGGUAUGAGAAGCUGUAAUUUCAUAUUGAACUGCUUCUGGAUUCAUCACUCUGCGGAAACUGCACAGAUGGAUUUUGCACCCUGCUCAUCAUUGUAGUUUCUGGACAUGUACUGCUGGAUCUGGGGAAAACUUACUUAACAGGGAGGUGAACAAAUUUAAGCCCCUAAAAAUGUUUUUUGUAACUCAAAAAGCAGAUGUAUCAAACAUCUUUCACUGAUGAAACCAAUAUUCAGUUGCUUUUCUGCUGCAUUUCACUGCAACUUCUUUGGUAGCACAGGCUGAGAAGGCAGCGCUCUUUCAAGUAUCAGCAUUCCAUCCGAACACUGCCAUUCUAUCAGGUAUGUAUCGUGCUGUGUAUAUGGUAUACUGAGCAAUAAUGAAGCCCUCAAAGUAGCAACUCAGUAUAUUCUAG